UGGGGAACUUGCAUGCGGCCCAGAUUUGAGAAAUAAAUGUAUUAAUAAAUAGUUUAACGCCUAUGGAAUACUCUCCAAUGAAAAAUGCAUUCUAACUCAUUGCAGUUCUUUUUUAACAAUCAAUCGAAAAUUGCAUAAUUUUGAACCACUUUUUAACGCUCGUGACGUCAUCAGGCGGUGACGCCGGUUUCUUAUUGCAGCCGCUAGAUGACAGCACUGAUAUUUUUCUAAACGUCAGCCGGUGUCAACAAACAGUAGAGGUUACAUUGUUAAAUGUCACUUCUGCCAGCUCCGAGAAGUUAUCAACUUAUUAUUCUAAUCAAUUAUCCCGCUCAUGCCCAAUCGUUUGAAGGUCCUUUGCAGGUCUAUGAUAGAUAAGAAUUAUUGUUUGAUCGAUCAUCGUUUUUUUAAAAUGAAUUUUUCAAAAAAUGAAAUAUUUCUACGGAAGUUAUCAUCUUUUUUUUUUAAUUUGGCCCUAGAAUGUUGAAUGACCGCUCAAACGAUCGAGAAUCGUUUGCAGGUGAUUGAUAGAUGAUCAUCAAUCCCCUACAGAACACUAAUUAUGAAUUAUUGAUUAAAAAUCAUUUUGAGGUUACUGAGCUCAGCGGCGGCGGAGUAGGGAGGUCGCCAUGUUGUAUCCAACAGCUGACGGUUUGCAUUUUGAGGCAUGGCGAAAAACUACUCCGAAACAACUUCUUUCCAAUCAAACUCACGAUCUCAUCUACAGGAGCAGGGCGCAAAUAUUGUUAUCUCUUCGUGACACUGACGUAUGUUAUUCUACUGAGAAAAUGUGGAAUGACAUUCCAAUAUUAGAAAUCGAAGUAUGUGGUACACCAGCCAAUGUUUGGAGGAAUUGUCUUUUUAAUGAACCGAGCCAAUGGAAAAAGUAUGAUUUUACUUGUGGGAGCUAUAUCCAACCCAUUUCGAUCUUGGAGCCGAAUAUUCCUAAACCAUUGAUCACAUCAAACAAGUUACUUUUACCUCUGGAGUUUCAUAAAGUUUUAAAAAAGGUGCAAAGUCGCCCGCCUCUUUGUAGCAGCAGAUGCAAUGUAGAGACAACCCAAUUUUCAUCUAUUCAUUCAUUUGAAGCGAUCAACUAAGUGUUUGCUGGGGAAUGUAUUUAAAAUGAUUGGAAUGGGCGAUCAGUAUCAAAUUGCUGGGGUCAUCAGUGCAUUUCAUGACCGAUACGUGGCCUUUUGUUUAGUGAAUGGAAAGUGGUGGUUGUACGACAACCAGCAGCCAAACAUCCAAAUGACAUCAGAUGUAGAAUUCGUUGAACUGGUUGGAUUAGUUUAUAUUUUAAAAAGUACAAUGAGUUGCUAAGCAUGUUAAAAAAAAUAUCACUUACCAAAGUUAUUCUAUCAAAGAUGAAUAUUUAUUUGUUUUCCAAUAAAAAAAUAUAAUGAUUAGAAAAUUUA